AGAGUUUGAUCCUGGCUCAGGACGAACGCUGGCGGCGUGCUUAACACAUGCAAGUCGAACGGAAAGGCCCUGCUUUUGUGGGGUGCUCGAGUGGCGAACGGGUGAGUAACACGUGAGUAACCUGCCCUUGACUUUGGGAUAACUUCAGGAAACUGGGGCUAAUACCGGAUAGGAGCUCCUGCUGCAUGGUGGGGGUUGGAAAGUUUCGGCGGUUGGGGAUGGACUCGCGGCUUAUCAGCUUGUUGGUGGGGUAGUGGCUUACCAAGGCUUUGACGGGUAGCCGGCCUGAGAGGGUGACCGGCCACAUUGGGACUGAGAUACGGCCCAGACUCCUACGGGAGGCAGCAGUGGGGAAUAUUGCACAAUGGGCGGAAGCCUGAUGCAGCAACGCCGCGUGCGGGAUGACGGCCUUCGGGUUGUAAACCGCUUUCGCCUGUGACGAAGCGUGAGUGACGGUAAUGGGUAAAGAAGCACCGGCUAACUACGUGCCAGCAGCCGCGGUGAUACGUAGGGUGCGAGCGUUGUCCGGAUUUAUUGGGCGUAAAGGGCUCGUAGGUGGUUGAUCGCGUCGGAAGUGUAAUCUUGGGGCUUAACCCUGAGCGUGCUUUCGAUACGGGUUGACUUGAGGAAGGUAGGGGAGAAUGGAAUUCCUGGUGGAGCGGUGGAAUGCGCAGAUAUCAGGAGGAACACCAGUGGCGAAGGCGGUUCUCUGGGCCUUUCCUGACGCUGAGGAGCGAAAGCGUGGGGAGCGAACAGGCUUAGAUACCCUGGUAGUCCACGCUGUAAACGGUGGGUACUAGGUGUGGGGUCCAUUCCACGGGUUCCGCGCCGUAGCUAACGCUUUAAGUACCCCGCCUGGGGAGUACGGCCGCAAGGCUAAAACUCAAAGGAAUUGACGGGGCCCCGCACAAGCGGCGGAGCAUGCGGAUUAAUUCGAUGCAACGCGUAGAACCUUACCUGGGUUUGACAUGGAUCGGGAGUGCUCAGAGAUGGGUGUGCCUCUUUUGGGGUCGGUUCACAGGUGGUGCAUGGCUGUCGUCAGCUCGUGUCGUGAGAUGUUGGGUUAAGUCCCGCAACGAGCGCAACCCUUGUUCACUGUUGCCAGCACGUUAUGGUGGGGACUCAGUGGAGACCGCCGGGGUCAACUCGGAGGAAGGUGGGGAUGACG
rnacentral:rRNA from 1 species